rnacentral:rRNA from 1 species
UGCCGGUCGAAGAUACCAGGCCGCUGCGACUGUUUAUUAAAAACACAGCACUCUGCAAACACGAAAGUGGACGUAUAGGGUGUGACGCCUGCCCGGUGCCGGAAGGUUAAUUGAUGGGGUUAGCGCAAGCGAAGCUCUUGAUCGAAGCCCCGGUAAACGGCGGCCGUAACUAUAACGGUCCUAAGGUAGCGAAAUUCCUUGUCGGGUAAGUUCCGACCUGCACGAAUGGCGUAACGAUGGCGGCGCUGUCUCCACCCGAGACUCAGUGAAAUUGAAAUCGCUGUGAAGAUGCAGUGUAUCCGCGGCUAGACGGAAAGACCCCGUGAACCUUUACUAUAGCUUUGCACUGGACUUUGAAUUUGCUUGUGUAGGAUAGGUGGGAGGCUUUGAAGCGUGGACGCCAGUCUGCGUGGAGCCAACCUUGAAAUACCACCCUGGCAACUUUGAGGUUCUAACUCAGGUCCGUUAUCCGGAUCGAGGACAGUGUAUGGUGGGUAGUUUGACUGGGGCGGUCUCCUCCUAAAGAGUAACGGAGGAGUACGAAGGUGCGCUCAGACCGGUCGGAAAUCGGUCGUAGAGUAUAAAGGCAAAAGCGCGCUUGACUGCGAGACAGACACGUCGAGCAGGUACGAAAGUAGGUCUUAGUGAUCCGGUGGUUCUGUAUGGAAGGGCCAUCGCUCAACGGAUAAAAGGUACUCCGGGGAUAACAGGCUGAUACCGCCCAAGAGUUCAUAUCGACGGCGGUGUUUGGCACCUCGAUGUCGGCUCAUCACAUCCUGGGGCUGAAGCCGGUCCCAAGGGUAUGGCUGUUCGCCAUUUAAAGUGGUACGCGAGCUGGGUUUAGAACGUCGUGAGACAGUUCGGUCCCUAUCUGCCGUGGACGUUUGAGAUUUGAGAGGGGCUGCUCCUAGUACGAGAGGACCGGAGUGGACGAACCUCUGGUGUUCCGGUUGUCACGCCAGUGGCAUUGCCGGGUAGCUAUGUUCGGAAAAGAUAACCGCUGAAAGCAUCUAAGCGGGAAACUUGCCUCAAGAUGAGAUCUCACUGGAACCUUGAGUUCCCUAAAGGGCCGUCGAAGACUACGACGUUGAUAGGUUGGGUGUGUAAGCGCUGUGAGGCGUUGAGCUAACCAAUACUAAUUGCCCGUGAGGCUUGACCAUAUAACACCCAAGCAAUU